GAUGAAGAACGUAGCGAAAUGCGAUAAGUAAUGUGAAUUGCAGAAUUCAGUGAAUCAUCGAAUCUUUGAACGCACAUUGCGCCCGUCAGUAUUCUGGCGGGCAUGCCUGUUCGAGCGUCAUUACGCCCCUCAAGUCCCCUGUGGACUUGGUGUUGGGGAUCGGCGAGGCUGGUUUUCCAGCACAGCCGUCCCUUAAAUUAAUUGGCGGUCUCGCCGUGGCCCUCCUCUGCGCAGUAGUAAAACACUCGCAACAGNANNNNNNCGCGGUCCACUGCCGUAAAACCCCCCAACUUUUUAUAGUUGACCUCGAAUCAGGUAGGACUACCCGCUGAACUUAAGCAUAUCAAUAAGCGGAGGA
rnacentral:misc_RNA from 1 species